rnacentral:rRNA from 1 species
GAUGAACGCUAGCGGCAGGCCUAAUACAUGCAAGUCGAACGGUGAACGGGGCUUCGGCCCCGGGAUCAGUGGCGGACGGGUGCGUAACACGUGGGCAACCUGCCCCUCACUCUGGGAUAACCCCGGGAAACCGGAGCUAAUACCGGAUACUCCGCGCGAGCCGCAUGGCUCGAACGGGAAAGGUCCGCCGGUGAGGGAUGGGCCCGCGGCCUAUCAGCUUGUUGGUGAGGUAACGGCUCACCAAGGCUUCGACGGGUAGCUGGGCUGAGAGGACGACCAGCCACACUGGGACUGAGAUACGGCCCAGACUCCUACGGGAGGCAGCAGUAGGGAAUCUUGCGCAAUGGGCGAAAGCCUGACGCAGCGACGCCGCGUGGGGGAUGAAGGCCCUCGGGUUGUAAACCCCUUUCGGCAGGGACGAAGCGAUCGUGACGGUACCUGCAGAAGAAGCCUCGGCUAACUACGUGCCAGCCGCCGCAGUAAAAC